rnacentral:rRNA from 1 species
GAUGAACGCUGGCGGCGUGCCUAAUACAUGCAAGUCGAGCGAACGGACGAGAAGCUUGCUUCUCUGAUGUUAGCGGCGGACGGGUGAGUAACACGUGGGUAACCUACCUAUAAGACUGGGAUAACUUCGGGAAACCGGAGCUAAUACCGGAUAAUAUUUUGAACCGCAUGGUUCAAAAGUGAAAGACGGUCUUGCUGUCACUUAUAGAUGGAUCCGCGCUGCAUUAGCUAGUUGGUAAGGUAACGGCUUACCAAGGCAACGAUGCAUAGCCGACCUGAGAGGGUGAUCGGCCACACUGGAACUGAGACACGGUCCAGACUCCUACGGGAGGCAGCAGUAGGGAAUCUUCCGCAAUGGGCGAAAGCCUGACGGAGCAACGCCGCGUGAGUGAUGAAGGUCUUCGGAUCGUAAAACUCUGUUAUUAGGGAAGAACAUAUGUGUAAGUAACUGUGCACAUCUUGACGGUACCUAAUCAGAAAGCCACGGCUAACUACGUGCCAGCAGCCGCGGUAAUACGUAGGUGGCAAGCGUUAUCCGGAAUUAUUGGGCGUAAAGCGCGCGUAGGCGGUUUUUUAAGUCUGAUGUGAAAGCCCACGGCUCAACCGUGGAGGGUCAUUGGAAACUGGAAAACUUGAGUGCAGAAGAGGAAAGUGGAAUUCCAUGUGUAGCGGUGAAAUGCGCAGAGAUAUGGAGGAACACCAGUGGCGAAGGCGACUUUCUGGUCUGUAACUGACGCUGAUGUGCGAAAGCGUGGGGAUCAAACAGGAUUAGAUACCCUGGUAGUCCACGCCGUAAACGAUGAGUGCUAAGUGUUAGGGGGUUUCCGCCCCUUAGUGCUGCAGCUAACGCAUUAAGCACUCCGCCUGGGGAGUACGACCGCAAGGUUGAAACUCAAAGGAAUUGACGGGGACCCGCACAAGCGGUGGAGCAUGUGGUUUAAUUCGAAGCAACGCGAAGAACCUUACCAAAUCUUGACAUCCUUUGACAACUCUAGAGAUAGAGCUUUCCCCUUCGGGGGACAAAGUGACAGGUGGUGCAUGGUUGUCGUCAGCUCGUGUCGUGAGAUGUUGGGUUAAGUCCCGCAACGAGCGCAACCCUUAAGCUUAGUUGCCAUCAUUAAGUUGGGCACUCUAAGUUGACUGCCGGUGACAAACCGGAGGAAGGUGGGGAUGACGUCAAAUCAUCAUGCCCCUUAUGAUUUGGGCUACACACGUGCUACAAUGGACAAUACAAAGGGCAGCGAAACCGUGAGGUCAAGCAAAUCCCAUAAAGUUGUUCUCAGUUCGGAUUGUAGUCUGCAACUCGACUACAUGAAGCUGGAAUCGCUAGUAAUCGUAGAUCAGCAUGCUACGGUGAAUACGUUCCCGGGUCU